rnacentral:rRNA from 1 species
CCUACGGGAGGCAGCAGUGGGGAAUUUUGCGCAAUGGGCGAAAGCCUGACGCAGCAACGCCGCGUGAGUGAUGAAGGCCUUCGGGUCGUAAAGCUCUGUCAGAGGGGAAGAACCGCCGGAUGGCUAAUAUCCAUUCGGUCUGACGGUACCCUCAAAGGAAGCACCGGCUAACUCCGUGCCAGCAGCCGCGGUAAU